CCCCCGGCCAACGCUCCACAGUUUCCCCUGGUCUCUGCAGCGUGCUUCAGUUUCUCACUGUCCUCAGGAGAAAACGGAGUGCUAGGGCUGCUGGGUUCCCCAGAAAUUGGAUCUGUCCAUCAUAAAUACCAGAAUGAUCCCUGCCCAAAGGACAAGCAGAGCGAUGCGCCGACGUACACUACCAUCCUCAGUGGCCAACGGGUGCAGCUGCCUGCACUUCAUCAGGAGCAGAAAAGAGUAGCUGAGCAACAUUCAGAAAUCCUGAAGGUUGCAAACUUUCUCCUUCAAACAACAUUUGGAACAAUUUUCCUAUCCUUGCCAGUGAAACUCUCGAUGGAAGAGGGAGUGAAUGUCCUGUGGGCACUUCUGUCGCCGUUCUCUCCGGAUUCGUCAUGGAACAGUCGCUGCCGUUUGGGAAGAACAGUAUCUCGGCUGCCUGUUAGAGCAGAGAGCUGCUCCUGCGAUCCAAAAUGGGGCCAUCGCACUGGGCGUUCUUCUGGAAGAUCCAACUCCCCAGAAAUGGAUACUAAAAUAAUUUAAUUUUCAAAAGUUGCAAGAUAUUUAAGGCUCUUUACCGAUGUUUUCAAAGCCCAGGGACACUGUGAACAAGGAGCAGCAGCUGAAGAGAAGCUUGGCAGAGAUAAGGAAGCAGUAUCAGAGGGAAGCAAAGCUAUUUAUUAGUGCUGUUUUGACUGUUUCAGUCUAUUGCUUGCCUCAACACCAAGAAAAGGCCUCAGCACCGUACACAGGUGCAGUAAGAGUCACCCUCUGGCCGGAUGUCGCCCUAUGCGAUAACAGCUCGUCCCAAUCAGGUGCGCGG
rnacentral:lncRNA from 1 species